GACGAACGCUGGCGGCGUGCUUAACACAUGCAAGUCGAACGGAAAGGCCCUGCUUUUGUGGGGUGCUCGAGUGGCGAACGGGUGAGUAACACGUGAGUAACCUGCCCUUGACUUUGGGAUAACUUCAGGAAACUGGGGCUAAUACCGGAUAGGAGCUCCUGCUGCACGGUGGGGGUUGGAAAGUUUCGGCGGUUGGGGAUGGACUCGCGGCUUAUCAGCUUGUUGGGGGGGUAGUGGCUUACCAAGGCUGUGACGGGUAGCCGGCCUGAGAGGGUGACCGGCCACAUUGGGACUGAGAUACGGACCAGACUCCUACGGGAGGCAGCAGUGGGGAAUAUUGCACAAUGGGCGGAAGCCUGAUGCAGCAACGCCGCGUGCGUGAUGACGGCCUUCGGGUUGUAAACCGCUUUCGCCUGUGACGAAGCGUGAGUGACGGUAAUGGGUAAAGAAGCACCGGCUAACUACGUG
rnacentral:rRNA from 1 species